CCUCAGUAUGUAUGGUGUACAGUUAUAGGCAUAGAUCCUGUUGUGGAUAUGGGUUUGACCAUGAAUGAAAUGAAAACCGGAUUUUUAUGCAGAUGGGGUGUGCCUGUGAUAAUGUAUUGAUUUAUAUUGUCCAGGUUUAUUUUGUGACAGGAUUAUGUGAUUGCUGCUCUGACAGGUAGAUUGUAGUAUGUGUGGAUAUUUCCUGACAGGUUAAAAAAUAGAACAAAGUGGUCAUUUUGUGCAUAUAUCAUGCCAAAAUUUUAU
rnacentral:lncRNA from 1 species